UGGGGAAUAUUGCACAAUGGGGGAAACCCUGAUGCAGCGACGCCGCGUGAGCGAAGAAGUAUUUCGGUAUGUAAAGCUCUAUCAGCAGGGGAGAAAAUGACGGUACCUGACUAAGAAGCCCCGGCUAACUACGUGCCAGCAGCCGCGGUAAUACGUAGGGGCGAGCGUUAUCCGGAUUUAUUGGGUGUAAAGGGUGCGUAGACGGUUAUGCAAGUUGGUUGUGAAAUCCCGAGGCUCAACUUCGGAACUGCAACCAAAACUGUGUAACUCGAGUGCGGGAGAGGAAAGCGGAAUUCCUAGUGUAGCGGUGAAAUGCGUAGAUAUUAGGAGGAACACCAGUGGCGAAGGCGGCUUUCUGGACCGUAACUGACGUUGAGGCACGAAAGUGUGGGGAGCAAACAGGAUUAGAUACCCUGGUAGU
rnacentral:rRNA from 1 species